rnacentral:rRNA from 1 species
UACGUAGGUGGCAAGCGUUGUCCGGAAUUAUUGGGCGUAAAGCGCGCGCAGGCGGCCUCUUAAGUCUGAUGUGAAAGCCCCCCGGCUCAACCGGGGAGGGCCAUUGGAAACUGGUAGGCUUGAGUAUAGGAGAGAAGAGUGGAAUUCCACGUGUAGCGGUGAAAUGCGUAGAGAUGUGGAGGAACACCAGUGGCGAAGGCGACUCUUUGGCCUAUAACUGACGCUGAGGCGCGAAAGCGUGGGGGAGCAAACAGG